GACGAACGCUGGCGGCGUGCUUAACACAUGCAAGUCGAACGGAAAGGCCCUGCUUUUGUGGGGUGCUCGAGUGGCGAACGGGUGAGUAACACGUGAGUAACCUGCCCUUGACUUUGGGAUAACUUCAGGAAACUGGGGCUAAUACCGGAUAGGAGCUCCUGCUGCAUGGUGGGGGUUGGAAAGUUUCGGCGGUUGGGGAUGGACUCGCGGCUUAUCAGCUUGUUGGUGGGGUAGUGGCUUACCAAGGCUUUGACGGGUAGCCGGCCUGAGAGGGUGACCGGCCACAUUGGGACUGAGAUACGGCCCAGACUCCUCCGGGAGGCAGCAGUGGGGUAUAUUGCACUAUGGGCUGAAGCCUGAUGCAGCCACGCCGCGUGCGGGAUGACGGCCUUCGGGUUGUAAACCGCUUUCGCCUGUGACGAAGCGUGAGUGACGGUAAUGGGUAAAGAAGCACCGGCUAACUCCGUG
rnacentral:rRNA from 1 species